GUGGGGAAUAUUGGACAAUGGGGGGAACCCUGAUCCAGCCAUGCCGCGUGUGUGAAGAAGGCCUUUUGGUUGUAAAGCACUUUAAGUGGGGAGGAGGCUUACCUGGUUAAUACCUGGGCUAAGUGGACGUUACCCACAGAAUAAGCACCGGCUAACUCUGUGCCAGCAGCCGCGGUAAUACAGAGGGUGCGAGCGUUAAUCGGAUUUACUGGGCGUAAAGCGCGCGUAGGUGGUUAAUUAAGUCAAAUGUGAAAUCCCCGAGCUUAACUUGGGAAUUGCAUUCGAUACUGGUUAGCUAGAGUAUGGGAGAGGAUGGUAGAAUUCCAGGUGUAGCGGUGAAAUGCGUAGAGAUCUGGAGGAAUACCGAUGGCGAAGGCAGCCAUCUGGCCUAAUACUGACACUGAGGUGCGAAAGCAUGGGGAGCAAACAGGAUUAGAAACCCUGGUAGUCC
rnacentral:rRNA from 1 species